rnacentral:misc_RNA from 1 species
GUAUUUCAUUGCGUUAAACGCGACAUACAUUCCAUUAGACUUUAUUUCGGUGUGUGUGUAAAGACGUAGAACCACAGAAGGAAGACAGGGUCCCCCAGACCAUAGAACUACAGAGGGUGCACAGGUGUGAGUGGAUGUGUAAACAGAGCGUGCACAUGCCCCCUAUGAGGGCCAGCAACAACCCGUUUGACAAUUCAGUAAUGAUCCUUCCGCAGGUUCACCUACGGAAA